rnacentral:rRNA from 1 species
AAAGGCUUACCAAGGCAAUGAUGCGUAGCCGAACUGAGAGGUUGAUCGGCCACAUUGGGACUGAGACACGGCCCAAACUCCUACGGGAGGCAGCAG